rnacentral:rRNA from 1 species
AGGUGCUUGCACCUUUCAAGCGAGUGGCGAACGGGUGAGUAACACGUGGAUAACCUGCCUCAAGGCUGGGGAUAACAUUUGGAAACAGAUGCUAAUACCGAAUAAAACUUAGUAUCGCAUGAUAUCAAGUUAAAAGGCGCUACGGCGUCACCUAGAGAUGGAUCCGCGGUGCAUUAGUUAGUUGGUGGGGUAAAGGCUUACCAAGACGAUGAUGCAUAGCCGAGUUGAGAGACUGAUCGGCCACAUUGGGACUGAGACACGGCCCAAACUCCUACGGGAGGCUGCAGUAGGGAAUCUUCCACAAUGGGCGCAAGCCUGAUGGAGCAACGCCGCGUGUGUGAUGAAGGCUUUCGGGUCGUAAAGCACUGUUGUAUGGGAAGAAAUGCUAAAAUAGGGAAUGAUUUUAGUUUGACGGUACCAUACCAGAAAGGGACGGCUAAAUACGUGCCAGCAGCCGCGGUAAUACGUAUGUCCCGAGCGUUAUCCGGAUUUAUUGGGCGUAAAGCGAGCGCAGACGGUUGAUUAAGUCUGAUGUGAAAGCCCGGAGCUCAACUCCGGAAUGGCAUUGGAAACUGGUUAACUUGAGUGUUGUAGAGGUAAGUGGAACUCCAUGUGUAAGC